UACGUAGGGUGCAAGCGUUAAUCGGAUUUAUUGGGCGUAAAGAGCGUGUAGGCGGCCAGGUAGGUCUGGUGUGAAAACUCGAGGCUUAACCUCGAGAUGUCAUCGGAAACCAUUUGGCUAGAGUCCGGAAGAGGAGAGUGGAAUUCCUGGUGUAGCGGUGAAAUGCGCAGAUAUCAGGAAGAACACCAUGCGAAAGCAGCUCUCUGGGACGGUACUGACGCUGAGACGCGAAAGCGUGGGGGAGCGAACAGG
rnacentral:rRNA from 1 species